AAUUGAUGAUGAGGACAUUGGCUAAUGAGGAGAUUAUACUGCUCCCAUGCUUCAUGAAAUGACUCAUCACCUUGUUGCAUGAAGAAGUGAAUCUUGUCCCUCAACUC